UACGAAGGGGGCUAGCGUUGCUCGGAAUCACUGGGCGUAAAGCGCACGUAGGCGGCUCUCUAAGUCAGGGGUGAAAUCCUGGAGCUCAACUCCAGAACUGCCUUUGAUACUGGAGAGCUUGAGUCCGGAAGAGGUGAGUGGAACUCCGAGUGUAGAGGUGAAAUUCGUAGAUAUUCGGAAGAACACCAGUGGCGAAGGCGGCUCACUGGUCCGGUACUGACGCUGAGGUGCGAAAGCGUGGGGAGCGAACAGG
rnacentral:rRNA from 1 species